rnacentral:siRNA from 1 species
GAACUUCGAACACCACAAAGCUUA